rnacentral:misc_RNA from 1 species
UACGUAGGUGACAAGCGUUGUCCGGAUUUAUUGGGCGUAAAGGGAGCGCAGGCGGUCUUGUAAGUCGGAUGUGAAAGCCCACGGCGCAACCGGGGAGGGUCAUUGGAAACUGGAAGACUUGAAUGCAGAAGAUGAAAGUGGAAUUCCAUGUGUAGCGGUGAAAUGCGGAGAUAUAUGGAGGAACACCAGUGGCGAAGGCGCCUUUCUGGUCUGUAAUUGACGCUGAGGCUCGAAAGCGUGGGGAGCGAACAGG